GACCCUCUUCAAACAAUGAUACAUUUAGUAGCUGUGAGGAAGGGGAGUUGCAGUUGAGAAUUCUGUGGGAAGAUGCCAGGUACAGUCUCCAGUACUUACUUCAGGAGGACCAGCCUCUUCUGGAUAUCUGUUAUCACUGGAUCCUUUGGGUAUUACACUUUGCUGAUGUUUUGGCCGCAGAGUGUACCAUACAAGAGCCUGGGACCCUGGGGUAGCUUCUCCAAGUACCUGGUGGACAACUAUCACCCCUACUUGUAUAUUGGAUACUGGUUGGUCUGGGUUCUUCACCUUGCUGAAGCACUGUACAGUGUCAAACUCUGCAGUGACAAAGGGAUCACAAACAUAAACGUCCAACUCAAGUGGGCAUUUCAGACGUUUUUGUUUGGUAUCACCUCUCUCUGGCACCUAUUGUCCUACGAACCACAGCAGAAGGAAAAAUGAAGACAUAGCAACAGAGGCACCUUCCUCAUCUUAAAAUGAUGGCACCAUUUCAACACCAUGGGCAUUGUGGAGGCACUGAGUUCAGUUGCAGUCAAAGAAAAGAAUUACGCCCAUCAUCAGAUUCAACCACAGCUGGACUCAUGUUAGGGUUCACCAACAGCCUGGUGAACAAUAGUGGCAGGUCGGCAAGACCUUGGGAUGACCUCCAAAAAGACAUUAUACGUGAGUGAUAUAACUGAUCACAAAUCCACCCACACCCCAGCCAUUUCUUCUUAGACUUUCUCUUACCCUCAUAAACUUAGACUAGAAGUUUUGGCAAAGCUGUAGGCAGCCAGAAAACCAACAGAAUUCACCAAAGAGAAAAAUUGGUAGGUUGCCUUGGGAACAAAGGCUGCCAUAUUGUCUGACCUGGAAAUGAAGUCAUGGAGGUGACGAUGACACAUACAUGACUUCCUAAAGCCUGUCACUUGUCAAAGAUUUCUCUCCAACCUGUUGAAGGCAAUAAACCAUGCCCAAUAAGGCCUGUCAGCUCUGAAGAAGGGUCGUACUGUGGUAAAGUGGAAUGCUAUGUACUUUUAAGAGAACGUAAUUAGUUGACCAUGUAACUGUAUUGACUAAUUGCUACACAGCAGGGGCUUCUUGGGUAACUGGAAGUUUAGAGCUGGAGGUGAUUGAAGAAGCGCACAUGGUGUUAGUGCUCUGUUCUUAGUUCCAAUAAACCACCAGUGUUUGUUAAGUUAA